GUCGGAGUGGUGGAAAUGGCAGACACGCAAGCUUGAGGUGCUUGUGCCCGGUUAGGGCAUGCGGGUUCAAGUCCCGCCUCCGACACCA
rnacentral:tRNA from 1 species